UACGUAGGGUGCGAGCGUUAAUCGGAAUUACUGGGCGUAAAGCGUGCGCAGGCGGUCUGUUAAGACAGAUGUGAAAUCCCCGGGCUUAACCUGGGAACUGCAUUUGUGACUGGCAGGCUAGAGUAUGGCAGAGGGGGGUAGAAUUCCACGUGUAGCAGUGAAAUGCGUAGAGAUGUGGAGGAAUACCGAUGGCGAAGGCAGCCCCCUGGGCCAAUACUGACGCUCAUGCACGAAAGCGUGGGGAGCAAACAGGAUUAGAGUACCCCG
rnacentral:rRNA from 1 species